rnacentral:lncRNA from 1 species
GUUAGCUGAGUUUUGUCUAGUUUCCCAUUCUUCUAUAGCUGGACAACACCGAGUUCAAUGCCUCACAAUUUUUGUCUCUUCCUCUCACCAGUGCACAGAAACUGUCUCUGAACAAUGACCCUGCUGCCAGAAGCUGAGGAGGAAUGGUGCUGGUGAUUCAAGGCUGAUUUUCCACCUCUUCAAUGCCUCUUUUAGAGAUAUACAGGUUGCCUAGGAUGAAGAAACAGCAAAUAUAUGGCUUGUCUGAUAUCUCUCUCCUGUCCUGGACCAUUUAUGGCAUGAUGAAUGGAUUCCAGCACUCUCUCUCAUGCAAACCUUUAGUAUGAUUUCAGAGACUCUUCAUUCACAUUAACAUCACAAGGAAAGUUCAAGGUUUAAAGUUGGUUCUUCCAAGGUCAUCUACCCUUUGAUCUCCCAGGGAAAUCAGAGCUUUAAUCUGAAAGAGAAUGAUUAUGAUUGGACAUUUGACUGUUGUGCAGAGGAAGCCUUCUAGGGAAACACAGCAGAAGUAACUAUUGCUUUAUGAAUAAGCAUGAGGAGUUUCAUGGCGAAAAUGGAGGUGACAGGCGAAAAUCAAGAGUUAGAAGACAGGCUCUGCUUCUUCCUAUAGACAUUCAAUGAUGCUACAAUUUCAUGCUCAACUUCUUUAUCUAUGAAUGGG